UACGUAGGGUGCAGGCGUUAAUCGGAAUUACUGGGCGUAAAGCGUGCGCAGGCGGUUUGCUAAGACAGGUGUGAAAUCCCCGGGCUUAACCUGGGAACUGCGCUUGUAACUGGCAAGCUAGAGUGUGGCAGAGGGAGGUGGAAUUCCACGUGUAGCAGUGAAAUGCGUAGAGAUGUGGAGGAACACCGAUGGCGAAGGCAGCCUCCUGGGCCAGCACUGACGCUCAUGCACGAAAGCGUGGGGAGCAAACAGG
rnacentral:rRNA from 1 species